ACCAAUAGCAUGCUCUGUAUUUAGUUUCUUCAUUAUUCCAGUAAACUUUUUAGAUAUAUGUGUGUCAAGAAAUUCAAUAAAAAUCGGUAUGGAUAUUUACAAGGAGAGCAGAAUUGGGCAUUACAAGCCAAGUCUGUCCCCAGAUCAGAUAGUAGAUGAUUCGAUUGAGAGUGGAACAGCGAUUCUGAUCACCUUGGCGGCCGUUUGCCUUUUCGUUGGCUUCUGCUGUCUGACCUUCAUGAUUGGCAUCUUCUGUGGCCUAGGCUGUUGCAACACUGACCACGCGUACAGGUAACAGGUAGCAGCAGCAGAGAGCGUCAACUGUGAGCAUGUCCAAAAAAAAAAAACUCCAACAGAUGUAGUAGGCUUUGCUCAGAAAUUUAUUCCAACAGUUAUAGCUAAAAGCAUGUGUCAAUUUUAAAUCUUAUAAAUUAUAAAAACUGCCUUAAACUGAAA